UGAGGAAUAUUGGUCAAUGGGUGCAAGCCUGAACCAGCCAUGCCGCGUGCAGGAUUAAGGCCCUAUGGGUUGUAAACUGCUUUUAUACAGGACGAAACUCUCGAACGUGUUCGGGAUUGACUGUACUGUAAGAAUAAGGAUCGGCUAACUCCGUGCCAGCAGCCGCGGUAAUACGGGGGAUCCAAGCGUUAUCCGGAUUUACUAGGUUUAAAGGGUGCGUAGGCGGGAUAGUAAGUCAGUGGUGAAAUCCUACAGCUUAACUGUAGAAUUGCCUUUGAUACUGCUAUUCUUGAGUUUAGAUGAGGUGGGCGGAAUGUGUCAAGUAGCGGUGAAAUGCUUAGAUAUGACACAGAACUCCAAUUGCGUAGGCAGCUCACUAACUUAAAACUGACGCUGAGGCACGAAAGCGUGGGGAGCAAACAGG
rnacentral:rRNA from 1 species